rnacentral:sRNA from 1 species
UCCCUCCUUCCCUCCUUUCUGUAGAGAUUCCUUCUGUAUUCCUUUGUUCCUCCCUGUGCUCUGUGAACCCUAUUGUUCAGUGGGUAGAUAAGCAGGGUGCACAGAGCUCUGGGGUAAGUCCCUGGAAUACCACCAGUGUGGCAGGGGUGGCUAAGAAAGCCACCUGGCCUAGAGCUGAAGCAGCCGCAGGUUCGGCAAACAGAUCAAAGCUGAAAAAGAAGGUCAAACGUAACAAGAAAUGGGGAGCCAUCUCUUCAUCCAUCAAGGAGGACAAAGCUCCAGAGACCCAUCCGUACUACAGUUCAGGAAGAGCUGAGCCCAAGUCAACAAAGCCGACCUACUAGGGCAUAUGCCAUUCAAAUGCGAAUGGAUAAAAAACGCAAUCCCUCAGCCCGGGCGGCAGCGAAGGCAGUUCCACCAUGCCCCAACAUUGCCACUGUUCCUACUCCUAGACGCCGAGUGAACUAGAUCCUAGACACUGAUCUAACAUCAGUGACUGGGUCUGGGAGCUGAGACACAGUCAGGGUGUCAAGUCCAUGUCUCACCACAUACUCAUUUGUAUGAUGGUGACAAUAAAAUCAAUCAGAUGUGAAAAUA